UACGUAGGUGGCGAGCGUUGUCCGGAAUUACUGGGUGUAAAGCGCGUGUAGGCGGUAAUCCAAGUUUGCGGUGAAAUUGCCUGGCUCAACUGGGCAGGGUCCGUGAAAACUGGGUCACUGGAGGACGGUAGAGGUGAGUGGAAUUCCCGGUGUAGUGGUGAAAUGCGUAGAGAUCGGGAGGAACACCUGUGGCGAAGGCGGCUCACUGGGCCGGUCCUGACGCUGAGACGCGAAAGCUAGGGGAGCAAACGGG
rnacentral:rRNA from 1 species